rnacentral:rRNA from 1 species
UGGGGAAUAUUGGACAAUGGGCGCAAGCCUGAUCCAGCCAUGCCGCGUGAGUGAUGAAGGCCCUAGGGUUGUAAAGCUCUUUCACCGAUGAAGAUAAUGACUGUAGUCGGAGAAGAAGCCCCGGCUAACUUCGUGCCAGCAGCCGCGGUAAUACGAAGGGGGCUAGCGUUGUUCGGAAUUACUGGGCGUAAAGCGCACGUAGGCGGGUAUUUAAGUCAGGGGUGAAAUCCCGGAGCUCAACUCCGGAACUGCCUUUGAUACUGGGUACCUAGAGUAUGGAAGAGGUAAGUGGAAUUCCGAGUGUAGAGGUGAAAUUCGUAGAUAUUCGGAGGAACACCAGUGGCGAAGGCGGCUUACUGGUCCAUUACUGACGCUGAGGUGCGAAAGCGUGGGGAGCAAACA